UAGCUAGUUGGUAGGGUAAAGGCCUACCAAGGCGACGAUCGGUAGCUGGUCUGAGAGGAUGAUCAGCCUCACUGGGACUGAGACACGGCCCAGACUCCUACGGGAGGCAGCAGUGGGGAAUAUUGGACAAUGGGGGCAACCCUGAUCCAGCAAUGCCGCGUGUGUGAAGAAGGCCUGAGGGUUGUAAAGCACUUUCAGUGGGGAGGAGGAUUGAUAGGUUAAGAGCUAAUUAAUUGGACGUUACCCACAGAAGAAGCACCGGCUAACUCCGUGCCAGCAGCCGCGGUAAUACGGAGGGUGCGAGCGUUAAUCGGAAUUACUGGGCGUAAAGGGUGCGUAGGUGGUUUAUUAAGUUAACUGUGAAAUUCCUGGGCUUAACCUGGGCAGGUCAGUUAAGACUGAUAGACUUUGAGUAUAGGAGAGGGUAGUGGAAUUUCCGGUGUAGCGGUGAAAUGCGUAGAGAUCGGAAGGAACAUCGGUGGCGAAGGCGGCUACCUGGCCUAAUACUGACACUGAGGCACGAAAGCGUGGGUAGCAAACAGGAUUAGAUACCCUGGUAGUCCACGCCGUAAACGAUGUCAACUAGCUGUUAGUCAUAUAAAUGUGAUUAGUGGCGC
rnacentral:rRNA from 1 species